AUUCCUGGAGAAAGGAAAGGAGAGAGAGAGGCAAAGAGCCUUUUUUCACCCAGCCACUUCUUCCUGGCAGAGGCAGAGUAUGAUUGAUAUAAAGAGAUCCAGCACUGAUUUUAAGACAUCAGGUAAUGGAGAGCUCCCCCAGCUCCUGAAUUCAAUCAACAGCUUGGAUUGUCCCCAGAUGGAGGACAAGGAUGUGUCACUCCACGGUGGCUCUGAGCAGCUGGGCCAGGGCACAGGAGACAUUCCAGAAUCACAGAAUAUACUGAGUUGGGACCCACCAGGAUUGAGUCCGGCUCCCAGCCCUGCACAGGACACCCCAGCAGUCAUCACGUGCCCAGGAACGUUGUCCAGAUCUCUGGAAUUCUGUCAUGCUGGGGGCUGUGACCACUUCACAGAAUCACAGAAUCACGCAAGGUUGGAAGAGACCUUCAAGAUCAUCGAGUCCAUCUUGUUUCCUGACACCUCAACUAAAACCUGGCACUGAGUGCCACGUCCAGGCUUUUCUCUGGGAUUAAAUCCUUCUGUCAGUAUUUGAACAAUUUGGUUUUGCCCUCUGGAGCACCCUAUUCCCAGUCUGUGUGAUGAGGAAGAAAUCCAAAAGUCAGUCAGUUUCCCAUCCCAGAUGGGAACGUGUCCCAGCCAUCUGGAAGCAGGUGGCUGUGAGCAGGGAGCAUAUGAAGCUCACUAAAGAUUUGUGUGAAAUAUCUUGAUUUCAGGUUUGUUUUUUUGCUGUUGGGGUUUUUUUUGUUUUGGUUUGGGUUUUUUUUGUGUUUUUUGUUUGGUUGGUUUUCUUGGUUU